CGGUACAGGGUGAUAGUCCCGUACACGAAAACACACUUGCUGUGAACUCGAAGAGUAGGGCGGGACACGUGGUAUCCUGUCUGAAUAUGGGGGGACCAUCCUCCAAGGCUAAAUACUCCUGACUGAUCGAUAGUGAACCAGUACCGUGAGGGAAAGGCGAAAAGAACCCCGGCGAGGGGAGUGAAAAAGAACCUGAAACCGUGUACGUACAAGCAGUGGGAGCCUCUUUAUGGGGUGACUGCGUACCUUUUGU
rnacentral:rRNA from 1 species